UGCUAAUUUGCUUUGCAUAAGAGAGAUCAAGAACAGGUUCAAUGUUUCUAAUCAUGACUGCCUCCUUCCAUGCUAAAACGUGGUGUGGGAUCAUUAACAGAAUAAUGAAAGAACUCCAUGGAAAAAGGUACUGUUACUGAUCAUGGACUAUGAAAGGAGAAAGGCAAGAGUCUCCAGACUUCUGGACAAAGGAGAAGAGGAGAAAAUUAUGACAGCAGAAAAAACUAUGCAAAUAAAUCCUGAGUAAUGAGAGGGAAGAAAAAGUUCAAAGUGAACAUGUGAAAUCUCCAAUGACUCCUCAAGCAAAGAUGUGAGAGAAUUAGCCUUCCUGGUAGCUUAAAGGUGAAAAACCAAGAAGUAAAAUGUUUCUUCUUACAAAUUUUAUCAUGCAUUUAACAUUCAUAUAUUAUUGAGCAACAUGUGAAUUAAUAGUUUAUCUUUUAAAACAUUAUCUAGAUUUUUUGAACAAAUAGAGAAUUGGAUGGGCAUUCAUCCAUCUUUUUAUUACUUUUUUUCUGCAUUAGGGAGUGAUAUUCAUUUCCACAAGCCAUAACAAAUAGUACCAUUUGCUGUAGGAUUUGCUCUCACCUGGGACACAGCCUGUUGUCUGCCUUUACUACAAAAAGAUGUCUCUUUUAAAGCAGGGGAGUCGGCAUGCAUUACUAUCCUGCUCUAAAAUCCCAGUAGCAUCAAAUACAGUUUUUAACUACACUGUACUUCAGCAAGACCAGCACUGAACUUUACAACAAGAGGUGACUCUACCUAAGUAUUUUAUGAUAAAAUCAAGAACGUUUUUUUACUUGAAGGCUGUGUCCUGGUUUCAGCUGGGAUAAAGUUAAUUUUCUUUCUAGUAGCUGGUAUAGUGCUAUGUUUUGGAUUUAGUAGGAGAAUAAUUUUGAUAACACACUGACGUUUUGGUUACUGUUGACCAGUUCUUACACAGAGUCAAGGCCUCUUCUGCUUCUCACACCACUCUACCAGUGAGCAGGCUGGGGAUGCACAAGAAGCGGGAGAGGACACAGCAGGGACAGCUGACUGUAACUGACCAAAGGGAUCUUCCACACCAUAUGACAUCAUUCUCAGAGUAUAAAUUAGGGAGAAGAAGAUGGAAGAGGGGGACAUAUGUUGUGCUGAUUGUUUAUCUUCCCAAGUAGCUAUUAUGCAUGAUAGAGCCCUGCUUUCCUGGAGAUGGCUGAAUCUCUGUCUACCAAUGGGCAGUAGUGAAUUAAUUCCUUGUCUUGCUUUGCUUGCAUGUGUGGCUUUUCCUUUACUUAUUAAACUGUCUCUAUUUCAACCCACAAUGUUUUUCACUUUUACUCUUCUGAUUCUCUCCUCCUUCCUGAUGGGGUGCAGUGAGCAAGUGGCUGUGGUGUUUAAUUGUCAGCUGGGGUUAAACCACUAUAGGAUUUUACUUGGGAGGUGGGUGCUGGGUGGCAGGGAUGAAAAGAAUAUAUCUCUUUUAGUUAAAACAACAACAACAAAAUAACUCCCUUUUUGUGUGGACUGGUAGGAUCCAAGGUAGAUCAUAAACAUAGGGAGGGAAAAAAGGUAUAUCCGUUGAAUCACCUUUUACAGCACUGCAUCUUGAUUCUCAUAAUGUACCCAUUGAAUCGAUUCUGUAUUUUUAAAAUAGGGCAGCUUUUCAAUAUGUGUGCAUUGCUAUGAAUCCUCAGCAGUCCAUGGAGCUAUGGUUCUUACAGCAGUUGAAACUUUGACCUUUCAAUCUUUUGCUUUUGUCUGUCUAUAUCACUGC